rnacentral:lncRNA from 1 species
UACAGAAAAGACCCCGGCCAUGGAUGGGAGACCUAGGACAAAGAUGGAAAAGAGGUCAGACACAAAUUUUGCAAGUAAGGUUAAGUGCGUGAAUACAUGAAUAAGUUCUCCUGGUCUGUUAGUUCCCCAGGAGGGACAUAUACUUGAGAAAAUAAAAAUUUGGACCCACUUGAUUUGGCCAUCUAACACAUGGCCAAAGAUGAAAGUUAUUUCCAUUCUGUGACCCGCUGGAAGCAGUAAUAUUUUAAUGCUUAUUAUGUUAAAGUCCUUGUUCAACACAAGGAGGUGCAGGAUCCCAGGAUAUGAGGGUCAAUAAAUAGUGUCCGUAAAAUCCUCACUUACUGAGUGAGGAAGGUCACUCCAGCAUUUGGUCUGCUUUGAUUUUGAAAAACUGCAUUCGUUUUCUGUAAUUCUUUCU